rnacentral:rRNA from 1 species
CCUACGGGAGGCAGCAGUGGGGAAUAUUGCACAAUGGGGGGAACCCUGAUGCAGCGACGCCGCGUGAAGGAAGAAGUAUCUCGGUAUGUAAACUUCUAUCAGCAGGGAAGAAAGAGGACGGUACCUGACUAAGAAGCCCCGGCUAACUACGUGCCAGCAGCCGAGGUAAGACGUAGGGGGGGAGCGUUAUCCGGAUUUACUGGGUGUAAAGGGAGCGUAGACGGGCAUGCAAGCUCGGUGUGAAAGGUGCGGGUACAACCCGCAGACUGCACUGAGAACUGUAUGGCUGGAGUGCCGGAUGGGCAGGCGGAAUUCCUGGUGUAGCGGUGCAAUGCGUAGAGAUCAGGAGGAACACCGGUGGCGAAGGCGGCCUGCUGGACGGCGACUCACGUUGCGGCUCGAAAGCGUGGGGAGCGAACAGGAUUAGAUACCCCAGUAGUC